rnacentral:rRNA from 1 species
UACGGAGGGGGCUAGCGUUGUUCGGAAUUACUGGGCGUAAAGAGCUCGUAGGCGGUUCGUCGCGUCGGCUGUGAAAUCCCGAGGCUCAACCUCGGGUCUGCAGUCGAUACGGGCGGACUGGAGUUCGGCAGGGGAGACUGGAAUUCCUGGUGUAGCGGUGAAAUGCGCAGAUAUCAGGAGGAACACCGGUGGCGAAGGCGGGUCUCUGGGCCGAUACUGACGCUGAGGAGCGAAAGCGUGGGGAGCGAACAGG